rnacentral:tRNA from 1 species
CUCCCCGUGGCCCAACGGACAGGGCACCGGUCUCCGAAGCCGGAGGUGCAGGUUCGAUUCCUGCCGGGGAGACCA